rnacentral:rRNA from 1 species
GACGAACGCUGGCGGCGUGCCUAAUACAUGCAAGUCGAACGCAGUUGGGACGGGUGAGUAACACGUGGGUAACCUCCCAUCCGCGGGGAUAACACUUGGAAACAGGUGCUAAACCGAUACUGAUGGAUGGACCCGCGGUUCAUUAGCUAGUGGGUUAGGUAACGGCUCACCAAGGCCACGAUGCAUAGCGGAGCGGGGAGGGGGAUCGGCACCACUGGGACUGAGACACGGCCAAGAAUCCUACGGGAGGCAGCAGUAGGGAAUCUUCGGCAAGGGAGGAAAGGCUGACCGAGCAACGCCGCGUGAGUGAAGAAGGUUUUGGGAUCGUAAAACUCUGUUGUUAGAGAAGCGGUAUCUAACCAGAAAGCCACGGCUAACUACGUGCCAGCAGCCGCGGUAAUAC